CACAGAUCCGUUUUGUUAGGCCCACAAGAAAGAGAACAAAUAUCAUAUUUCCCCACAAUCACAGCUUCGUCUGCUCCAAACAAUGCCCUAGGAACUUCAGUUUCAUUCUUCUUCUAGUGCAGCAAACUUGAGCUGAAAAAAGUUGACAAAGUUCAGAAAGGCUAUCCCAUUCCAGGGCCAGGAUAGGUAGGUCCUGGCUCAUUUUUCAGCUGUUUACAGUUGCUCUUCAACACUUGUGCUGUCGAGUAUGCCCAUUGGCCGGCAAAGCCUAGCAAAAACAGUCGGUCAGAAAAUAAUGGAAGCAGGGCCAAAUCCCAAUGUGCAAGCUGCCUCUGGUGGCUCCUUAUCUUCCGGCCUAAUGCCAGAAGGAAUGCGAGGAAAUGAUACAAAGAAGCCUGCAAUGGUAAAAUUUCCUGAAAGAGCAGAUGGAGAAAACAUGACGGGACAAGUUCAUCAUAAGGGUCCACUGCGAUAAGCAGAUCACGGGUGGGUACACUCACGGAGAAGGGAAACAUUAAGUGAGGUGAAACAGUUGCGUAUGGUAUGAUUACAGUCGAGCUGCUAACUUGGAUUGGACUAAUUGUGCUCACCAUGCUUGAGGGGACGAAAGUUGAUAAGGAUUUAUGUUACAGAGAAUAAUUACUUCUAUAAUACAGAGAGACAGCAAAAGUAAAUACUAUUCUUUAAACCAUUUUUACAAAUAAAAUCUUUCGUAGUGUUGAAGGCAAUUAGCAUGUAAAGCUUGUACAUUAGAUGAAAUCCAACGUUAAUAUCACACAGAGAAUUUACUCAAAAUAAAUCAACUUUUUUAUGGGUGUGAAAGAUGAAAUUUUUGUUAUAAAAAGAAAUUUCAGAAUUUGAAAAAUCCGCAAA